UCCUACGGGUGGCUGCAGUGGGGAAUAUUGGGCAAUGGGGGAAACCCUGACCCAGCAACGCCGCGUGAAGGACGAAGGCCUUCGGGUUGUAAACUUCUUUGAUCAGGGACGAACGAAAUGACGGUACCUGAAGAACAAGCCACGGCUAACUACGUGCCAGCAGCCGCGGUAAUACGUAGGUGGCGAGCGUUAUCCGGAUUUACUGGGUGUAAAGGGCGUGCAGGCGGGUCCGCAAGUCGGGUGUGAAAUAUCCGGGCUUAACCCGGAAAGGUCAUUCGAAACUGCGGAUCUUGAGUACUGGAGAGGACAGUGGAAUUCCUGGUGUAGCGGUAAAAUGCGUAGAUAUCAGGAGGAACACCAGUGGCGAAGGCGGCUGUCUGGACAGUAACUGACGCUGAGGCGCGAAAGCGUGGGGAGCAAACAGGAUUAGAUACCCUGGUAGUC
rnacentral:rRNA from 1 species